rnacentral:rRNA from 1 species
GACAGAGGUGCCAAGCGUUAGGCGGAAUCACUGGGCUUAAAGCGUGUGUAGGCGGGUGCCUAAGUACCUUGUGAAAUCCCACGGCUCAACCGUGGAACGGCUCGGUAUACUGGGCGUCUUGAGCCACCUAGGGGCGAGUGGAAUUCCUGGUGUAGCGGUGGAAUGCGCAGAUAUCAGGAGGAACACCAAUAGCGAAGGCAGCUCGCUGGGACGUUACUGACACUGAGGCGCGAAAGCGUGGGGAGCGAACAGG